rnacentral:rRNA from 1 species
UACGGAGGGUGCAAGCGUUGUCCGGAAUCACUGGGCGUAAAGGGUGCGUAGGUGGUGAGGUAAGUCGGAUGUGAAAUCUCCGGGCUUAACCCGGAAAUGGCAUUGGAAACUACCUUGCUAGAGGAUUUGAGGGGGGAUUGGAAUACUUGGUGUAGCAGUGAAAUGCGUAGAUAUCAAGUGGAACACCAGUGGCGAAGGCGAAUCCCUGGAAAAUACCUGACACUGAGGCACGAAAGCUAGGGGAGCAAACAGG